CGUAUUCUCCACCUUCACCCCCCCGCGGUGCGCCUCCAUCGCCCCCGGUAGAACCUGUUGCGACCCCUCGGUUGAAAGCUCCCAGGGCAGGUGCACACACUGUCCAGCUCCGCUUUCUUUCCGAAGUGGCCGAAGGGUUAAUUCGGGAAGCCGAGGGGAAAACAUUUUAAAACCCGGGGAUCGUGAAAGUUAGAAGUCUAUCCUCUUUCGCCACCCGUGAGGAAGGCGGCGGGCUUGAGGGGGUGGGGGAAACCAGCGCUUUUCUGGCCGAAGGCCAAUGUUUCUAAAGUGAAUGUAAACAAAGAAAACUGCAAACACCAGAGGAGGGCCUUCCACCGCCGCCAAGGCUGGGUAACGUGUUACCAAACGGGUGCCGAGCUUUGCCUACCCCCCGUUUCCCUCUUCGUCCUCAGUGCCUACGGUCACCCCGACCACCGCCCCGCUGGACGGGGGGAGUUUCCGCCGGCGGGGACGGCGCAGGGUAACAAACCACAAAAAAAGAGAAAAAAAUAAAAAAGGCUGCAUUUUAAAAUUUGCUUUCAACCCGUUGGGGGUUUUUUGUUUGGUUUUGGGUUUUUUUGGGUGGGUUUUUUUUUUGGCUUUUUUUUUUUCUUUUGAGAGCGAAGGCUCGCCCCUCCCGCCCCGGGAGGCAUAUCCGCCGUGCCCCGGGCGGGCGGAGGCCGGGUCCGGGCUUGCCCGAGCCUGCCGGGCGCUCCCGGCUGCGGCCUCGGGGUUGCGUGGAGCUGCUGGUAACGUGCUCGGGGAAACAUUCACGGAACUCCUGCUCCGUUAGCAAAACUUUCUGUGUUUAGGCGGGGAAAUCCUCGCUUGCUCGCACCAAGGCCGGAGGGGUUUCACUGCGGGGUUAGAGAGGAGCGGGAGGGAAGAAGGAAGGCUGGAGGCGUGUGUGGCCGUGACACCGGUUGCGUGAUCUCUCUAAAAACACCCGUGAUGGACAUACGAGCGAUGUGAAAUCCAGCCGUCGGACUGGGCGAGGUUUGGAAUUUUUUUUCCCCCGCUCCUCACUGUCGUGAAAUCUAUGGGCGGAUGAUUUUCCCUUUUAGUUAUGCUUCGUGACAACGGAUGCCUUCCCGAUGAUGAUUUUUCUGGGGGAGAGUGCGAGUCCCUCGGAAAAUCUCCCGCCCCGCCCCAGCCCACGCACGGCCCCUGCUUGCUGGGGCGCUUGGGAGCUCAGUGAGGUCGCCGUCCCACUUCGCUGCUCUUGCGACAGAACACGAAGCUUGCUCAUCCUCCGUGAGCUCUCCGUGGGGACUGUGGAUACUUUUUUUCACUGCUGUGCUGUGGUUAAAACAAAAUAAAAAUAGAAAAUAAUAAAAAAGAAAAAAACGAAAAUUACCUAGUUCCAA